rnacentral:lncRNA from 1 species
UGUGUCGUUACAAAUUUCUUCUCCACUCCCGAGAUUGCUAGCCUAGCUGCUCAUGAAGUAGUCCCUUUCUAUUCCUCUAUGCAAGGCUCUAGAAGAAUUUCUGGGCUCUUCCUCUAAUGGGAGUACAAAAGUCUUUUUAUAGGUGUUAGGAGGGAGGAGUUUUACAUGAUUUUUCGAUGUGGGACUAAAAAAAAUACUAAAGACUAAAAGAUGGAUGGAUGAGAUGAAAAGAUCACAA